GAUGAACGCUGGCGGCGUGCCUAAUACAUGCAAGUCGAGCGAACGGACGAGAAGCUUGCUUCUCUGAUGUUAGCGGCGGACGGGUGAGUAACACGUGGAUAACCUACCUAUAAGACUGGGAUAACUUCGGGAAACCGGAGCUAAUACCGGAUGAUAUUUUGAACCGCAUGGUUCAAAAGUGAAAGACGGUCUUGCUGUCACUUAUAGAUGGAUCCGCGCUGCAUUAGCUAGUUGGUAAGGUAACGGCUUACCAAGGCAACGAUGCAUAGCCGACCUGAGAGGGUGAUCGGCCACACUGGAACUGAGACACGGUCCAGACUCCUACGGGAGGCAGCAGUAGGGAAUCUUCCGCGAUGGGCGAAAGCCUGACGGAGCAACGCCGCGUGAGUGAUGAAGGUCUUCGGAUCGUAAAACUCUGUUAUUAGGGAAGAACAUAUGUGUAAGUAACUGUGCACAUCUUGACGGUACCUAAUCAGAAAGCCACGGCUAACUACG
rnacentral:rRNA from 1 species